UUCAAGGGUUUUGGCUGGGAACUGACCACUCAAAGCUUUACAAGACAUUCAUUAGCCUGUUUCCAUGAGGUUUGGUCCACAUUUGUUUAGGAGAUGAAACAUUUCAGAUCCAAAGGUUAAAAAAGUUUAGAAAUUUUUAUCUCUGAACACCUUCUCUUAGAACUGAAGUUCUUUCUCUUUCCCCCUCCAGAGCAUGUGGCCCAGUGGAUUUCAGAUUCAAUCAAUUUUGCCCAUCAGGAUGUUUACUUGAAAUCCUAGCAGGGGAAGCAAGUAGAAGGCAUGGAAACUCGAAAAUAUGUUCUCAAGUUUUGCCUCUCUCUAAGGCGUGGUUGCUCUUUCCAGAAGGGAAGGGUCAAGUAGGGGUUUUGCUUUAACAGUUAAAAGUCGUGAUCAAAAAUAAUUUUGCUUCUUGAGGAAUUAGGAGGAUCCCAGAAGAACACAAGUUUCUAAGGUGCCCACAAAACAUUUUGACAGAAACACUGGGCUACUUAUCCUUUUUGGGUUGAGCGAAUGUUGGGAUUCCAGAAGAUUAUAGGCCUCUGUUGCCACUGGAUUACACAAAGGGAGAGCUGAAGAUUGAAUCUCAAGGCCUAAAUAGACUGAGGAGGAUAUGAAGAGUAGAAUCUUGAAGAAGGGACAGAGAAAAUGCACCUGGGGAAGAGCAAGCUGGGUUUCCUUCUGCACCAUGUUUCAGCGUGAAAACUGUCAGCUAAAAUCUGACUGCUGAAUUUCUAUGACUGGUUCCACUACAAGUUGUAGAAAGAACACAGACUGUUUAAACAAAUAUCAUGCUGACUCCCUGAGUAUUGACAGGUGGGGAACCUUGGAAAAAAGAAAAUGGGAUCUGUGACAUUUAGCAAGACUCUGCCACCCGUUAUGUCAAUAAACAAUGAUGGGCACAACAUGCUGCCUUCCAGUGUUCUGAGGACCGAUCUUUUGCAUUUGGCAUAUGUCCUUCCUUGGUAGGCCUCAUCAUUCUGUUUACAAAAAUAAGUACUAUUAAAAAUAGGA